UGGUGGUGGUGGUGGUAGCAGCGGUAGCGGUGGCUCUGGGCUCCUCUACAAAAACAAAAGUUAAAAAAAAACACACAAAAAGUAAAAAAAUAAAAUAAAAAAAAUAAAAAUCACUAUAUACACACAUAUAAAAGAAAAAAGUCUCAGUUGCAGCUAUUUGUCAAGAUUAAUACCUGUUUCUUUUUAUAUAUGGUAAAUAUUGUGCAAUUAUAGCUCUGGAGUUUGAACCACUUCCCGAAAGCAGCACCGACCACGUGAAGGUGCUUGCCUUCUCUGCUGAUUUGGCUGUUCCCAAUGUUUACAUAAUUUCAUCUGUGCACUUGGAUGUGACAUGCGGUCUAGUCCAGUUUUUUUUUUUUAAUGUUGUUUAUUCUUGGAUGUACAAAAGAAAAUUGGGGGCAGGGGAAUGACCUCUGUAGAUACUGUUGUACUUGGGUCAUCUUUGAAUGAACCCCAUUUUAAAGCAGAAAGUAACUUUUCUACGGACUGAUGCUUUGGGAAGGCCCCUUCCUGGUCUUGUUUUCGAGAGACAACUGAAAAGCUUGCGCUUCUUUGUUGCAGUACAGCUCUUUGCCCAGGUUAACACCAACAGUGGGUUUUAUAUGUCAG
rnacentral:lncRNA from 1 species